rnacentral:rRNA from 1 species
CCUACGGGGGGCAGCAGUGGGGAAUAUUGGGCAAUGGGCGAAAGCCUGAACCAGCAACGCCGCGUGAAGGAAGAAGGCUCUCGGGUUGUAAACUUCUUUUAUCAGGGACGAAGCAAGUGACGGUACCUGAUGAAUAAGCCACGGCUAACUACGUGCCAGCAGCCGCGGGAAUACGGAGGUGGCAAGCGUUAUCCGGAUUUCCUGGGUGUAACGGGCGUGUAGGCGGGAAAGCAAGUCAGAUGUGAAAACCAUGGGCGCAACCUGUGUCCUGCAGUUGAAACUGUUUUUCUUGAGUACUGGAGAGGCAGACGGAAUUCCUAGUGUAGCGGUGAAAUGCAUAGAUAUUAGGAGGAACACCAGUGGCGAAGGCGGUCUGCUGGACAGCAACUGACGCUGAGGCGCAAAAGCGUGGGGAGCAAACAGGAUUAGAUACCCUAGUAGUC